AUGUUAUCAGGUGUAACUUCCACAUCUACCACAAUAUCUAGUGCCAAUUCUGCUGCUGCUUCAAAGACAGAGUUCCCACGGCUUAAUACUGAUGAUCCACCGGCUAUGUCACCUGUCAGCAUUAGCCAAGUACCUGGAAACUCUUCGGUUCCUGCAGUUAACAUCAUUUCAGUGACACCAAACUCCACUCUAACAAACAGUUCCCCCAUGUUGAGCAGUGAUCCUGAGAGUGUUCCAAUCGAAGAGAAAGCUGUCGAAGAAAUCUCAAGGGAGCACUUCGUUCUGUGUCUAAAGAAAGAAAUGGAGAAUGGAGGACAGGGGGAUGGGAUGGAGGGAAGGAGUGAUGCAGGGCGGUCUUUUGUAUUGCAGAUUGAAGGUGAGGGCCAGCAAGAAGAGGGAGGGAAUAGUGAGGGAGGAGAGAAGUCAUAUGUCCUCCGGUUUCAGACAGAGGGAGAAUGUGAAGGAGAUGCAGGAAAAGAGAAGACAGAAAUGGUCUCUCUUAACUUACUCCAAGAGUGGACCGGACCGAGUGAGGGGCAUGGAACUGCAGAUGCCGAGGGAAGUGUUGAAGUAGAAAAGUCCUUUGUGCUUCAUUUCCAAACAGAGCCUCAGAGUGAGGAGGACAUUCAGCCAAACUCAGGCUUCAUAGGAGGCCCAGGUGAGGAUCUCAGCCUUUCUUGCCAUCCGGGUCAAGCCUUAGUGCCUCUGGAAGGGCAGGAUGUGGUAUUUGAGCUCGGUGAUGAGAAAAUGGAUGGAAGCACGGGUCCAGGGGACAGUGUUCAAAUGAUUGCACUGAUAGAAGGUGAGGGCAAUGGUUCGGGGGCAAGGGGCAGUUUUAAAGGUGCUGUUGGGGCAAACUCUGGGCAAAUGGAGGGAAUCUUCCAGUUAGAGGGGGGAGAAGGCAUUGUCAUAAUUGAAGUUAGCACCAGCAGUUUGAGAGAGGGUGGAAUAGAGGCAGCAGAUGUAGGACAUACUUUAGCGGAAGGAGCUGAGGAAAAACAAGCUAAUGAUGCACAAGAGGCACGAGAGGAAGUAAUGUCAGAAGAGUCAAAACUUGUUGAGGCUGAGAGCAUAUCAUCGUCAGAGAUUGGACUAACUUAG
rnacentral:lncRNA from 1 species